AUGCCUUACAUUGGUCAGACUAUGGCCAAAUACUACUCGUACACCACCCAGACUAUAGCCGUACACUGUACGUGCCUUGGUCGGAUGCUCCAUCUCCGCGCUGCUCCGGCCGACUCCGCGCGUCCGUGCGCCGCUGUGCUACAGCCAGCUCGUCAUCGCCGUCGUCUGCUCCCGCAGCAGCGGCCACGGCAAACACUCCCCUCGUGGGGUCAUCUCCGUCCUCGCCCGCAGGCCAUCCGCUUCGUCCUCGCUCCUCCUACCAACGCCCCGCGGGCACCCGUCGGCGGCCCGUCCUCGAGCAGCUCCUCCGCGGCCAGCUCCGGCAGCCCGCCGGCUCCGUUCGCCGCGCCCACCCCGGCCGGCUCUAGCCCCGCGCCGGCUCGCGUCCCUGCCCGGCAGGCUCCGGCCCCGCGCUGGCUCGCGCCCCUGCCCGGCCAGCUCCGGCCUCCCUUCUGCGUCCUCCGCGAACCCGGCUCCGGCCUCGCAGCGCGCGCCCCACGGCCGGCUCCGUUCGCCGCGCCUGCGCCAGGCUCCGCUCCGCGCCUCUGGGCUCGCGGUUGUGUGCCUCCAACUCCGGCUCCGGUUCGCCCCACCACGCUGCUGCGCCCCAGGCACGAAAGCCUCCCGCGCCCGCGCCGGCGGCCGCCUGCCCUGCACGCCUGCACCCCCCCUCCCCCGCGUCCGGGUUCGCCUUCCCGCGCCCUCCUCUGA
rnacentral:rRNA from 1 species